rnacentral:rRNA from 1 species
CCGUGAUAAAGUAGCAUAAUCACUCGUCAUUUAAUUGGUGACUGGAAUGAAUGGUUACACGAAUCUUUAACUGUCUCAAGAAGAAAGUUCAAUUAAUUUGAAAAAACAGUGAAGAUGCUGUUAACAAAAUUGUAAGACGAAAAGACCCUUUCGAGCUUUACUAUAAGCUUAUACAAAAAAUCUUUAAUAAAAAUAUAAUAAAAACAAACUGUAAGCUAGUUAGUUUGGUUGGGGCGACCACCUCUAAAACAGUAUCAGAGGAAAUCUAAAGGUAUAAUAGUAAUAUUAAUUGCCUUACUGUAUACAAACAAGUUAAUCAGUUACUAUUAUGUAGGAUAUAAUGACCCGUUGAAUUAAUUUCAAAAUUCAACGACCAUGAAAAAAGUUACCGUAGGGAUAACAGGGUAAUAUUAUCAAAGAGUUCAUAUCGAUGAUGAU